rnacentral:piRNA from 1 species
UGGUAAACACAGGUACUUGGACCAAG